rnacentral:rRNA from 1 species
AUGCACGCUGGCGGCGUGCCUCAUCCAUGCAAGUCGAGCGAACGGACGAGAAGCUUGCUUCUCUGAUGUUAGCGGCGGACGGGUGAGUAACACGUGGAUAACCUACCUAUAAGACUGGGAUAACUUCGGGAAACCGGAGCUAAUACCGGAUAAUAUUUUGAACCGCAUGGUUCAAAAGUGAAAGACGGUCUUGCUGUCACUUAUAGAUGGAUCCGCGCUGCAUUAGCUAGUUGGUAAGGUAACGGCUUACCAAGGCAACGAUGCAUAGCCGACCUGAGAGGGUGAUCGGCCACACUGGAACUGAGACACGGUCCAGACUCCUACGGGAGGCAGCAGUAGGGAAUCUUCCGCAAUGGGCGAAAGCCUGACGGAGCAACGCCGCGUGAGUGAUGAAGGUCUUCGGAUCGUAAAACUCUGUUAUUAGGGAAGAACGUAUGUGUAAGUAACUGUGCACAUCUUGACGGUACCUAAUCAGAAAGCCACGGCUAACUACGUG